AUUGAACGCUGGCGGCAGGCCUAACACAUGCAAGUCGAACGGUAGCACAGAGAGCUUGCUCUCGGGUGACGAGUGGCGGACGGGUGAGUAAUGUCUGGGAAACUGCCCGAUGGAGGGGGAUAACUACUGGAAACGGUAGCUAAUACCGCAUAACGUCGCAAGACCAAAGUGGGGGACCUUCGGGCCUCACACCAUCGGAUGUGCCCAGAUGGGAUUAGCUAGUAGGUGGGGUAAUGGCUCACCUAGGCGACGAUCCCUAGCUGGUCUGAGAGGAUGACCAGCGACACUGGAACUGAAACACGGUCCAGACUCCUACGGGAGGCAGCAGUGGAGAAUAUUGCACAAUGGGCGCAAGCCUGAUGCAGCCAUGCCGCGUGUAUGAAGAAGGCCUUCGGGUUGUAAAGUACUUUCAGCGGGGAGGAAGGCGGUGAAGUUAAUAGCUUCACCGAUUGACGUUACCCGCAGAAGAAGCACCGGCUAACUCCGUGCCAGCAGCCGCCGUAAAAC
rnacentral:rRNA from 1 species